rnacentral:pre_miRNA from 15 species
CACACUUCCUCACCCCGCCGUGUCCUCAGGGUCCAGUUUUCCCAGGAAUCCCUUAGGCACUAUGACGGGGAUUCCUGGAAAUACUGUUCUUGAGGCCAUGGCUCAGCAGCUGGAGAAGAU